rnacentral:rRNA from 1 species
GACGAACGCUGGCGGCGUGCCUAAUACAUGCAAGUAGAACGCUGAAGAGAGGAGCUUGCUCUUCUUGGAUGAGUUGCGAACGGGUGAGUAACGCGUAGGUAACCUGCCUUGUAGCGGGGGAUAACUAUUGGAAACGAUAGCUAAUACCGCAUAACAAUGGAUGACACAUGUCAUUUAUUUGAAAGGGGCAAUUGCUCCACUACAAGAUGGACCUGCGUUGUAUUAGCUAGUAGGUGAGGUAAUGGCUCACCUAGGCGACGAUACAUAGCCGACCUGAGAGGGUGAUCGGCCACACUGGGACUGAGACACGGCCCAGACUCCUACGGGAGGCAGCAGUAGGGAAUCUUCGGCAAUGGGGGCAACCCUGACCGAGCAACGCCGCGUGAGUGAAGAAGGUUUUCGGAUCGUAAAGCUCUGUUGUAAGUCAAGAAC